rnacentral:rRNA from 1 species
GACAGAGGGUGCAAACGUUGUUCGGAAUUACUGGGCGUAAAGCGCAUGUAGGCGGCCAAGCAGGUCGGAUGUGAAAUCCCUCGGCUCAACCAAGGAAGUGCAUUCGAAACCGCAUGGCUAGAGUCCCGGAGAGGAAGGUGGAAUUCUCGGUGUAGAGGUGAAAUUCGUAGAUAUCGAGAGGAACACCGGUGGCGAAGGCGGCCUUCUGGACGAGGACUGACGCUGAGAUGCGAAAGCGUGGGGAGCAAACAGG